rnacentral:rRNA from 1 species
CCAAUAGCGUAUAUUAAAGUUGUUGCAGUUAAAAAGCUCGUAGUUGAACUUCAGGAUCAAUUAGUUGGUCAUGCCUUGGUAUGUACUGAUUUUAUUGGUUCUCACCUUCUAAAGAACUAUAAUGUCAUUUAUUUGAUGUUAUGGGGAAUUAGGACUGUUACCUUGAAAAAAUUAGAGUGUUUAAAGCAGGCUCACGCUUGAAUACAUUAGCAUGGAAUAAUGAAAUAGGACAUCGCAUUCUAUUUUGUUGGUUUCUAGGAUCGAUGUAAUGAUUAAUAGGGAUAGUUGGGGGCAUUAGUAUUCAAUUGUCAGAGGUGAAAUUCUUGGAUUUAUUGAAGACUAACUACUGCGAAAGCAUUUGCCAAGGAUGUUUUCAUUAAUCAAGAACGAAAGUUAGGGGAUCGAAGACGAUCAGAUACCGUCGUAGUCUUAACCAUAAACUAUGCCGACUAGGGAUCGGAUGAUGUUGAUUUUUUAAUGACUCAUUCGGCACCUUACG